rnacentral:rRNA from 1 species
AUUGAACGCUGGCGGCAGGCUUAACACAUGCAAGUCGAGCGGUAACAGAGAGAAGCUUGCUUCUCUGCUGACGAGCGGCGGACGGGUGAGUAAUGCCUAGGAAUCUGCCUAGUAGUGGGGGAUAACUUGCCGAAAGGUAAGCUAAUACCGCAUACGUCCUACGGGAGAAAGGAGGGGACCUUCGGGCCUUUCGCUAUUAGAUGAGCCUAGGUCGGAUUAGUUAGUUGGUGAGGUAAUGGCUCACCAAGACCGCGAUCCGUAACUGGUCUGAGAGGAAGAUCAGUCAAACUGGGACUGAGACACGGUCCAGACUCCUACGGGAGGCAGCAGUGGGGAAUAUUGGACAAUGGGGGGAACCCUGAUCCAGCCAUGCCGCGUGUGUGAAGAAGGUCUUAGGAUUGUAAAGCACUUUAAGUUGGGAGGAAGAGCAGUUAACUAAUAUUUGACUGUUUUGACGUUACCGACAGAAUAAGCACCGGCUAACUUCGUGCCAGCAGCCGCCGCGG